AAGCAAAUGUUGAGAUGGAUCUGUGCAGGAUCUAAUAUUCAGUAACAGUAUUGAUUGAAGAUGGAAACAGCUAAUCUAUGAACAAAAAUAAUGUAUGGAAGCAACAGAUUCAGAAGACCAAGGCCUAUAGUGCAUCAAAUUAGACAUAUCUAAAUAAAAUAACGAACACAAUGGGCUUUUGUUAAUUUUUAUCAUUGAUUAUACAACAACGUUACAUCCGUGCCCUACAUGUAUAACCAGAAAACCAAAUCUUAUUGCAUGAGAGGCAUAGAUUUACACAAAAACCUCUGGCCAGCACAUCUAAUGCCAAACAUACAAUACAUAUCUUCAAAAAAUCAGGCAGCAUAUGCAGCUCCACAACUAAGUCAGGUUAAAGUGUUCCUUAUCAUUAAGUAUUAAUUUCCAAUGAUACAAUUAACUUGCAAAUUCGCAGCUGUUACUUGAACUGUAGCCCAUACGACUACUCACUGCUUCCUUGCCCAUCCAGGUUCCCAUUUCCUUAUUGCCAUCAUUUCUAACUUUUGUCCGGUUGAUUGCUCACUGCUCUCUUGUUCAUCCAGGUCCCAUUUCGUUAUUGUCAUCAUUUCCGUGUUCUUUACCAUUACUUCCCUUUUUGACUUGAGCUGCUCUGCUCUCUCUUUCCAUCCCUCUUCCAACAACUGAACAAACCUAUCCUUGAUUUUAUGCAAUGGAUCCCUAUCAAUCAAUUCACUAUCCUUAUAAGCUUCCCUUAGCAUUGCAGUCUUAAUCCCCCCUUUCAAUGACAUGUAAAAUAUUCCGGAAUGCCUGGUGAACACACUUGAAAAUUGAUUGGAAAACCUAUACUCUUCGCUAAACUUCCCCAGUAUCGGCACUGGAAUCCUCUUAAAGAGUGAGAGUGAUAACAACUCAUGGAAAACCCCAACAGUCCUCUUUUCCAUUUCUGGUGAGGCUUGAUCCAAGUGUGACACGUCCGCAUAUGGUGAAAUGUAAUCAAGUUCUAACCAAUCCCUAACCCACUCCCUCAUUUCCUUCCUGAGAAAAAACCCUGGUGGAAGUUUAUAAUUGAAAUUAGGCCUAACUCUAAUCCCUGUUAACCGAGACUCCUCUUCAGCUCUUUGCUCAAGAACUGAUUUAGCAAGCUCAGGGUUCCACUCAACCAACUCCAGAAACGACUUCCCCUCACCUGGACAUCCUAUAAGCCUAAAAUAAUGUGGAUACUUGGGCACCAAAUUAACCAAAAAAUCAUUAGGGAAACCAAAUUCUCUCUUCACAUGAACCAAUUUAUCCGCACUAAGUACCUUAUCCUUGGCCAUCAUCAGCAAUUUACACAAUUUGGUAACAAUAAACCCCUCAUUUUCCAAUUGAAUCCCCUUCUCUUCUUCAAGAAAAUUCCUUAACCGAUCACUAACGCGCAAAAACAGGACAGGUUCAGAUUUGGGUUUGAUUUUAUCAUAAUAAGUAUCGAAGAGGCCUGGAUUUUGAUUGAUAAAAGUUUUAACUCUGAAAUUGAGGCGUAACCUCUCGCGCCUUUUCUCGAGGUAUCGGAGCGGUAAAACUUGACCGGGUUCGUUUAGAACCUCCUUGACGACUCGUGCGCAGACUUUGUACCGCUUAUCUUUCUCUAUAGCAAAAUCUAGUUUUUGGUCCCUGCGCCACACCACUUUGAGGCUCGAAAUGGAUUUGAUUUGGAUGUUGAUUUUAGGGUUUACAAGAGAAUUAUGAAAAUGUGUAUGGAUGGAGUGGGUUUUGAAAAGCAUACCUGGAUUUAACAAGCAAUCGAG
rnacentral:misc_RNA from 1 species